GACGAACGCUGGCGGCGUGCUUAACACAUGCAAGUCGAACGGAAAGGCCCGGCUUUUGUGUGGUGCUCGUGUGGCGAACGGGUGAGUAACACGCGAGUAACCUGCCCUUGACUUUGGGAUAACUUCCGGAAACUGGGGCUAAUACAGGAUAGGAGCUCUCGCUGCACGGUGUCGGUUGGAAAGUUUCGGCGGUUGGGGAUGGUCUCGCGGCUAAUCAGCUUGUUGGUGAGGUUGUGUCGUACGAAGGCUUUGAGGGGUAGCCGGCCUGAGAGGGUGACCGGCCACAUUGGGCCUGAGGUAGGGGCCAGACGGAAACGGGAGGCAGCGGUGGGGAAUAGUGCGCACUAGGCGGAGGCCUGAUGCAGCAACGCCGGGUGCGGAAUGACGGCCUUCGGGUUGUAAACCGCUUUCUCCGGAGACGAAGAAUGAGUGACGGUACUGGAUAAGAAAGCAACGGCUAACUACGUG
rnacentral:rRNA from 1 species